rnacentral:rRNA from 1 species
AGUCGUGCGCGAAAGCUCCCUUCGGGGAGUGAGUAGAGCGGCGCAAGGGUGAGUAACACGUAACCAACGUACCCUCGAGAUCGGAAUAACCAGUGGAAACGCUGGCUAAUGCCGAAUGGUCCCUGGAGAUGGCAUCUUCACCAGGGUAAACGGCCGUUUAGGCUGCUCGGGGAGCGGGUUGCGGGCUAUUAGCUUGUUGGUGGGGUAACGGCCUACCAAGGCGAUGAUGGUUAGCGGGUCUGAGAGGAUGAUCCGUCACACUGGGACUGAGACACUGCCCAGACUCCUACGGGAGGCUGCAGUCGAGAAUCUUCCGCAAUGGGCGAAAGCCUGACGGAGCGACACCGCGUGCAGGAUGAAGGCUCUCGGGUUGUAAACUGCUGUCACGCUAUAGGAAAGGGUGUAUGGAAACAUGCGCAUUGACUAAAGCGAGAGGAAGCACCGGCUAACUCCGUGCCAGCAGCCGCGGUAAUACGGAGGGUGCAAACGUUGUUCGGAAUCACUGGGCAUAAAGCGCACGUAGGCGGUCCAGUCAGUCAGGUGUGAAAGCCCCCGGCUCAACCGGGGAACUGCACUUGAUACUACUGGACUUGAGAGUGGAAGGGGUGAGCGGAACUCCAGGUGGAGCGGUGAAAUGCGUAGAUAUCUGGAGGAACACCGGUGGCGAAAGCGGCUCACUGGCCCACUUCUGACGCUGAGGUGCGAAAGCUAGGGUAGCGAACGGGAUUAGAUACCCCGGUAGUCCUAGCCGUAAACGAUGGGCACU